rnacentral:rRNA from 1 species
UACGAAGGGGGCUAGCGUUGCUCGGAAUCACUGGGCGUAAAGGGCGCGUAGGCGGCUUUUCAAGUGACGGGUGAAAUCCCUCGGCUUAACCGAGGAACUGCCUGUCAGACUGGAAGGCUUGAGACCGGGAGAGGUGAGUGGAAUUCCCAGUGUAGCGGUGAAAUGCGCAGAUAUCAGGAAGAACACCUAUGGCGAAGGCAGCUCUCUGGGACGGUACUGACGCUGAGACGCGAAAGCGUGGGGAGCGAACAGG